UAAACCCCUAUACAGUUUAGGUUUAAGAAAGUAUGUAAGAGUUAUCCUCCAUAUUCUAAUUACAAAAAAAGAAAAAAGAAAAAGAAAAUUAGAUUUGACAUAUAUGUAUUUAAUUUAUGAAGUUAUUUUGAUUACCAAAAAAAAAAAAAUGUGACAUACGUGUAAUUUGAUAUAUGAUUUUUUAAAGUCCCAUUUAUCCAUAAAUUAUUCUGAACUUCUGACAAGUUAUAAUAUUGGUACAUUUUAAAUUAGGAACCAAUAUUAUUUUAUAGCAGUAUGAACCUUAGCAGCACAGGGUAUAUUAGCAGAUGGUUUUUGUUGCACUUAGACAUGCUGUAAAUGUGGAAUGGGCAAAAUGAAGUUCAAAUAAAUUUCUAAUGGCAAAAAUGAAAGGGGUUUGCUACCGUAUAUCUGUUUUUUUCGUGUGUCACAAAAUUUGCGAAAAUGGGGGAAAUGUGAAGCAUUUUUUAAUUGCUUCAGUCAUUUUUUGCAAUUUAAAAAGAUUCUUAUUGAAAUUGAUACAGUGCAUUAUUUCUGCAUAUUCAAUUAUUUGCCAUUUAAAAGAGAUCGCGAAAAAAAGCAAAAAUUAGAUCAUCGCGAAAACUACUGGACAUACAGUUUUUCUUUACUUUGAAAAAUAUAAAUACCAUUUAAGGAUCAUUUUAUUAUAAGUAGGCCAGAGUUCAAACCUGGCAUUUUUUAGAAGGAAAGUGGGGCUGAAUAUAUAUAUUUCUAAAUUUGAUCCAGUACAUUCAUUGGC
rnacentral:sRNA from 1 species